rnacentral:lncRNA from 1 species
UCUAUUUGUUAUUUUUACCACUGUUGAACAGCAAACUGUUGAGGCUAGGGUUGAUUAUUGAUAAUUUUUAUGUGUUUAGUAAUAACCACAGCAUCAUACGUACAACUGCUUUAAUAAAUCCAAGUUAAGGACUUUGAGGAGAGCAUGUAGCAAGUAUUCAUUUUAACAAAUCAUCACAGACAGUUUCCCUGUUCAAAGCUCCACCAAAAAGCAAGCAUGCAGCAAAGGCAUAGACUGUAUUUAGAGAUGUGGUUUCAUUUAUUCUUGAAGUCCUAUAACCUUGCAUUAUUUAAACACAAAAUCCCACCUAACAUUUGCCAAAUCCAAGUUAAUCUCAAAAACCUCCGAGGACAUUGAGCACAAGCAGAUUACUGUAAGGGCACUGGUGGCAGAUUGUGGUGGAGAGAGGGCUGAGUGACCCAGAGCAAAGCCUGCCCGGGUUACUCGCUGCCACUUCAGGAGAGGGAUUGUAUCAGCUCUCAUUACCUUUUGUCAUGAGGCAGUUCAUAAAUUAAAUAUGAUAUCAUGCAUUAUCUCAAAAUAUUUCUAUAUUAAUUAGAUAAUUCACGAUGUAAAACGUGUUCAUGCAGAAGCAAAGGCGGAUGUAAUAGUCAAGUAUCAGGGAAAAACCCCUUUAGGAUACCCAGACAUUAAAAAUGUAAAAAGUAGCUUAUAAGAAAUGUGGAUUAUCAGAUUUUUACUAUAUAUAGGUUGUGUUUAAUAGUAAUUUCUGACACCUGCACAUAGAUGAAGAAAAGGCAGUUGUUACCACUUUUCACCAUUCAAAAAAUGGGCUUGUCUCUUAGAGUAUUGGUUAAUGCUUUGCUUAUUUGUUAAUGAAGACAGCAUUUUAAUUUUAAAGCUUCCUUUUGUAGGACUGAUGGCACGGGCAGAAUCACAUUUAAGAAAAAUGGUUUGGAACACUUUUUAAUAAAAAAUUGUAAAAUCAGUUUCCAGUGUGGUCAAAAUUAGAAUGUAAAGGAAAGCAUUUUUAAGAAAAUACAGAAGCCCAAAUCAAGGGAGAGUAAUAUAAAAGGAAAUAUUUUAAAUUAAGAAAAGGAGGUGUUAUAGUUUAUUACAUCAUGAAUUAUGCUUUCUGUACUUACGCUCUUAGUGAAGGAGAUAACAUUGAAGUGAGAAAAUGAACAUUCUCAGUUAUUUGCGAAGUUAGUAAAAUUGCAGUCCCUAUUCCAUUUUUUUCUGAUGAAAAUGGAUACAUGAGAUCUCAUUUAUUGCUCUCCUCAACACCUUUACUGUCCCAGAUUCCAUUCACGUUCCAAAUCGUGGACAGUAAAACUGAAGUCAGAUAAACACAGUCACAGGUACAACUGGGAGCGAGUUUUAACAUAGUGGUAAUUUUGCAAAUGCCAACAUGAAUACUAGUGAGUACUCAAUUUACGACAGACAAUUUCACAAAAACCAACCACAGAGUGAUUUGAUAUUCUUGCUUCUUAGAGAGUUUUCUAAUCCAUAUAAUGCAAUGGGUCAGGUUGCUCAUAUGAUUAAAAAAAUUAAUCCUGUAGAAAUGAUGUAUUAGACAUCUCUAACCCAAGAAAAAGAUGUCUUUUGUAUAACUUUUAAAUUCCCAUUUGUCUAUCUUAGGACAAAUGAUGACUUCUUCGUGUAGUAAUGAAAACGUCUAAAUCCUGCUCUGUGGAGAAAAGCUAGAACCAUGGGACAUUAAGCAAGAAUACUCCUCUGAUUUAGGCUCCCAGACUACAACUAACAGUCUUUAUGUAUUUAUCAUCUUGGUUAUUGUUUUAUCUCAAGCAUAUACAGUGUGCAGAAAGUAGAAUAAUGAAUAAAAUAUGACCAUGGAGAAAACCCAUAACUUUUGCUUCUAUUAUAGAAAGCAGUGUUUGUUCUUUUUAAUUUAUUACAUGUUCACAUUGAAACAUUAACAUCUACAAUAUUGUCUUUCAGUUUACUCUUCAAUUACUAAAGCAAAUGAUUUUGAUUUAUAGCACUUACACAACUGCAGUUCAGGUCACAGAAUUGAAAUCUAUUUGAUAAUGUCUCAGCAUUCUCAUGGGCAGCCAGGAAAAAAAAAAAGAGAGAGAAAGACAAAUAGAAAUUUUAGUGGGUUCAGAUAAAUGAUUAUUCUGACAAACCUGGAAAAUAGUAAUUAAACAGUUCAUUCCAAAAGACCCCAAUGUAAACUCUGCUCACAUACAUAAUUUGUAUAAGGAAAAUGUAUGAGUUUUUUUCUUAAAAAUAAAUAGAAGCAUCAUUGCAUUUAUAACAGAUUGAUCAAUCUUAUGAACAGAUUACAUUGGGAAAGUCACUAUUAUUGCUGUGUGUUUGUAUAUUUUAUUCUUUCCUUUUUUGUGUGAGCAUCUACUAUGUGCCAGGCAGUGACUGUGUCUGAGUGAAUGUAUCCAUGGUGAGCACUCAGGCGCCAUCACUGCCUUCUUGGGGCUUACACCCUAUUGGGGUGUCAGAGAUAUUAUAACACUCAAUAUUGACCCAAUGGGAUGAAAAUUGUUAUCUUCAUGAUUUCUUCCAAUGGGCUUAGAUUUGUUGGGACAGGGCAGAAUUAGAAUAAUUAUUUCUCACAUAUAAGAGUAAGUGAUAUGAGAUUGGGAAUUUCUUGCCAACACUCAAGCAAACUGCAGAAGAUAAUUACUCCAUUUUACUAGCUCACCUAGUUUCUGAAGGAUGGGGUGGGGAGUGAGACAUGGAGCCUCUGGGGACAAGGAUAGGGGGGUGGGACUGUCCCAGUGGAGGGUGCCACUGGAAGCCUCCACCCAAGUGGGCCAGCAGCUGUGCAAGGGUGCAGCAGUAGGCUGGUGAAAGCCAGGUUGUCCAGAUCUUUCUAGGGGAAGAGAAGGAUUAUAGAAAAGGAGAAAAGGGAGGAGCAAGAACAUCUCUCCAUGGCCUAUUUUUAUUUUUGUUCCCAAGAGACUAGUGUAAUAACCUUAUGCCCCCAAAGACAGCCCAGAACUGAGUAUCUUCAGUGUUCCUGAGUGUAAAUCAGUGAAUCUGUUAUAUAGAAAGUUAACAUUUCAGGAGCACAAUUAUUUCCUGAUUUCAAAUAUGAACAGAAGACUAAAUGUCAUUUUUUUAAAUCAUAAAUUUGGUAUCCAUAGUUACUUUACACAUUCCAGAGUCUAAGCAUGGAAUUUAAGUUUUGUAUUUUGAACAAAAAUAGCAACAUCUGUUUUCUGUAUGGCAAAGAAAAACUAAAUCCCAGACUUUUAUUUUUAACCACAGAAACCAUCACUUCUUUCUAAAUUAUUUGCUUGCCUGCUCAUUUCCCCUAAACAUCUCUGUUUAUGCCAAUGGCUUUUUAAAUCCAAAUAAUACUAGUUAUUGCCAAAUUGCAUUAGAAUCCUAUUGAAUUAGAAUAAUUCAUAUACUUCAUAUACUAGGCAGUAAAUGGUUAGAGACGGUAAAGAUCUGAUUGUGAUCAAAAGUAGGGUUUUUGUUUUGUUUUUAAUCAUGAGCACAUAUAAAAGGAAAUUCAAAUGAAACCAAGCCAAUUUCUGAUUUAGUAAGAUUAAAACCAUAGAUGGAGCUCAGUUAUUAAGGAUGGAAAGGAGGAAAGCACAGAGUGAGGAGAGAAAAAGGGGAAGGAAAAAAAGUAGUGUUUUUUUGGGGAACAGUAUAAUGUCUCAGAAGUUCUUCUCUCUUAUCCUGCUGAUGUUGAGACAGUGGCUUUGUAUAAGCUUUUAUUUAUACCUAUUUCAACAUCAUGAAAAUUUUUCCAUCAGCAUUUUCUUGCAACUUUAAAAAUCACAAGGGAUUAUUUGUUUAUAAAGAGAUACAGGAUCUAUAAUUUAUUGGCAAUACUUUAUUUUAGGAAUCUUCAAAUUGUACUUAAUAAAUAAAUCACAGGUCAAAAUGACUGUAAAAUCAAUCAGGCUUUCUCGUAAGUUAUUUCCUGAAAACCAUCCAUGAUAAAUACAACAAGGCUUGGCGAAACCUCAUUACUCUUGGAAGUCUUCAGAGGUUAUUAUACCUACUGAUCUGUAUUUGUCUCUAAGAGACAUUUGAAACACAGUUACAAUGUCAAUUUGGUGUAACAUUACCUGUAGUAGAGCUCAGAGUAUAUGGCAGUGCACGGUCACUCAAGAUGCAUGGCGUGUCAUUUGGGUCGCUUUGAUGGGUGCUCGGGUAGAAUUAGCCUUGUAGAGACUAAUGUGUUCAUGCUAUCUCUGAUCCUGUGGUGUUGUAUAAAAAUGAACAGCUAAAAAUUUACCCAUGACAAGAUUAAAGCAAAAAUAAACACAAAGUUGUUAGACUUUAAA